AUGGGAAUAUUAGCCACAUGCGAUCCCACACCGAGUCCACCGCCGCCUUCUCCGCGCUCCUUGCCUUUCCCGGGAGGCAGGGACUGGUGCCAACUCAGGAACUUGCCGGCCAGUGGGACAGCCCUCAUCCCCGGGGCUGGGGGGGCGGCCAGGGAUCCCCCGUUUGGGCUGCGAUGGGGUGAGUCACGCAGAGUCACAGAUUUUGGUCCUGAGACAGGAUGGUCUGGGGGGAAGAGAGCAAAAUCAGAGGGCACCGGCUUCAAAUUCCAGCUUUGCCACUUGCUGGGAGCUCUGCGUCCUGCGCAGGUUGUUGACCUUGUCUGCUGCCCAGCUUCCUUAGUGCCGGGGAAAUGGAGACAAGAACCCCCCAUGCCCCCCCAGGUGGCCGUGAAGACUCAGGGACGCAGCCCGGGGAAGCCUGGCGGGUGCUGGGUGCGCGUCCACUGUGUCCCGUCGGCCUCCAGGACGGGCCCCGCCCCCAGCACCCUGAUGAGAGGGGCGCUGCCGCGGCACCACCACGGAACCAUCAUGGUCACGGUCACCAGGGCAGGGGCUCCCGUGAGGCACCCAGUGAAGGCUGGCAUGGUGGGUGCCAGGGAGGAAGGCUAUGCUUUUGGGUGUUUGCUCCGAGGCCCACCACCUCUGUCCCCGCGCCCCCACGCUGGUGCUCGUGCUUCUGUCCGUGAUUUCACUCCUCACCCUCCGUGUGCCUCUGGGUCAUCACAGUCAAGACCACAAGACCUGAGCCACACGGAUCUCUCUGCAGCAGACAAUGGGGGCGGGGUCCAACAAUGCCCUCAACCCCAUUUGCCUUCCUGUCAUUUGGGGCUCAGGGGGAGGAUGCCGAGGCAGGCGGCUGCCUUACCUGGUGUGCUGGCCUCCUGCGGGGGGGUCUGGGGGGGGGAACGACAGGAGAAACUCGAAGGGACCCCCACUGGCUGCAGCUGGCCACCCCUGCUUCAACCUGGGCCCGUCCAGGCUCCCCCCUACCUGCAGGGAUGA
rnacentral:lncRNA from 12 species